CAGAUACUUCCUCCGUCCGGAAAUACUUGUUCUAGAAAUAGAUGUAUCUAGAUUUAUUUUAGUUAUAGAUACAUCCAUUUUGUACAUUUCUAGGACAAGUAUUUUCGGACGGAGGGAGUAUUUA
rnacentral:pre_miRNA from 1 species